AAGUCGUAACAAGGUUUCCGUAGGUGAACCUGCGGAAGGAUCAUUAACUAGUAUUGAAGUCCAUGGGGAUCAGGCUUUCCGAAAGGAGGGCGGGGGGAUGUUUGGUUCCCCCUGCUUGGGCAGACUGGAGAGCAUGGCGUAGCCAACAAAGUUGGCUAGGUUAUGUUUGGCCUCUGCUGAUCGAGCUUGUCACCUGAAUUCUACUACCCUUGCUUUUUGCGCACCCAUUGUUUCCUCGGCAGGCUUGCCUGCCAGUAGGACCCUUUAAAACCCUUUGUAAUUGCAAUCAGCGUCAGAAACAACGUAAUCGUUACAACUUUCAACAACGGAUCUCUUGGUUCUG
rnacentral:misc_RNA from 1 species